UACCAAGCCUACGAUCUAUAGCUGGUCUGAGAGGAUGAUCAGCCACACUGGGACUGAGACACGGCCCAGACUCCUACGGGAGGCAGCAGUGGGGAAUCUUGCACAAUGGGCGAAAGCCUGAUGCAGCCAUGCCGCGUGAAUGAUGAAGGCCUUAGGGUUGUAAAAUUCUUUCGCUAGGGAUGAUAAUGACAGUACCUAGUAAAGAAGCCCCGGCUAACUUCGUGCCAGCAGCCGCGGUAAUACGAAGGGGGCUAGCGUUGUUCGGAAUUACUGGGCGUAAAGCGCACGUAGGCGGACUUUUAAGUCAGAUGUGAAAUCCCGGGGCUCAACCUCGGAACUGCAUUUGAAACUGGAAGUCUGGAGUUCAGGAGAGGUUAGCGGAAUACCGAGUGUAGAGGUGAAAUUCGUAGAUAUUCGGUGGAACACCAGUGGCGAAGGCGGCUAACUGGACUGAUACUGACGCUGAGGUGCGAAAGUGUG
rnacentral:rRNA from 1 species